AACGAACGCUGGCGGCAUGCCUAACACAUGCAAGUCGAACGAGACCUUCGGGUCUAGUGGCGCACGGGUGCGUAACGCGUGGGAACCUGCCCUUAGGUUCGGAAUAACUCCCCGAAAGGGGUGCUAAUACCGGAUAAUGUCUUCGGACCAAAGAUUUAUCGCCUUUGGAUGGGCCCGCGUUGGAUUAGCUAGUUGGUAGGGUAAAAGCCUACCAAGGCGACGAUCCAUAGCUGGUCUGAGAGGAUGAUCAGCCACACUGGGACUGAGACACGGCCCAGACUCCUACGGGAGGCAGCAGUGGGGAAUAUUGGACAAUGGGCGAAAGCCUGAUACAGCAAUGCCGCGUGAGUGAUGAAGGCCGUAGGGUUGUAAAGCUCUUUUACCCGGGAUGAUAAUGGCAGUACCGGGAGAAUAAGCACCGGCUAACUCCGUG
rnacentral:rRNA from 1 species